rnacentral:miRNA from 1 species
AGCUUUCGACAUGAUUCUGAAC